rnacentral:rRNA from 1 species
GACGAACGCUGGCGGCGUGCCUAACACAUGCAAGUCGAACGGACGAGAUUUCUUCGGAGAUCGAGUUAGUGGCGAACGGGUGAGUAACGCGUGAGCAACCUGCCUUUCAGAGGGGGACAACAGUUGGAAACGACUGCUAAUACCGCAUAACGCAUUCGGGGGGCAUCCCCUGAAUGCCAAAGAUUUAUCGCUGAAAGAUGGGCUCGCGUCUGAUUAGAUAGUUGGUGAGGUAAUGGCUCACCAAGUCGACGAUCAGUAGCCGAACUGAGAGGUUGAUCGGCCACAUUGGGACUGAGACACGGCCCAGACUCCUACGGGAGGCAGCAGUGGGGGAUAUUGCACAAUGGGGGAAACCCUGAUGCAGCAACGCCGCGUGAAGGAAGAAGGUCUUCGGAUUGUAAACUUUGUCUUAUGGGAAGAAAAAAGACUAGUACCUAAGGAGGAAGCCCCGGCUAACUAUGUG